AACGAACGCUGGCGGCAGGCCUAACACAUGCAAGUCGGACGAGAAGGUUCCUUCGGGAACUGGAGAGUGGCGCACGGGUGAGUAACGCGUGGGGACCUACCUCUUAGUGGGGGAUAACGGUUGGAAACGACCGCUAAUACCGCAUACGCCCUUCGGGGAAGAUUAUCGCUAAGAGAUGGACCCGCGUUGGAUUAGAUAGUUGGUGAGGUAAUGGCUCACCAAGUCAGCGAUCCAUAGCUGGUUUGAGAGGAUGAUCAGCCACACUGGGACUGAGACACGGCCCAGACUCCUACGGGAGCAGCAGUGGGAUAUGGACAAUGGGGCAACCUGAUCCAGCCAUGCCGCGUGAGUGAAGAAGGCCUUGGGUUGUAAAGCUCUUUCAGAUGCGAAGAUGUGACG
rnacentral:rRNA from 1 species